rnacentral:rRNA from 1 species
ACAUCUCUUUUUGAGGAAUUUAUAAAGUUUGACCUGCCCACUGAUUAAUUAAAUGGCCGCAGUAUAUUGACUGUGCAAAGGUAGCAUAAUCAUUAGUCUUUUAAUUGAAGGCUGGAAUGAAUGGUUGGACGAAAUAUUGACUGUUUCAUUUAAAUUUAUAAUAGAAUUUUAUUUUUUAGUAAAAAAGCUAAAAUAAUAUUAAAAGACGAGAAGACCCUAUAAAUCUUUAUAUUUUUUUUAUAUAAAUUUUAUAGAAGUAUUUUAUUUAUAUAAAUUAUAAUAUUUUAUUGGGGUGAUAUUAAAAUUUAAUUAACUUUUAUAAAAAAUUACAUUAAUUAAUGAUUUGUUGAUCCAUUAAUAAUGAUUAAUAGAAUAAGUUACUUUAGGGAUAACAGCGUAAUUUUUUUGGAGAGUUCAUAUCGAUAAAAAAGAUUGCGACCUCGAUGUUGGAUUAAGGAAUAAAAUUAGGUGUAGAAAUUUAAUAUUUAAGUCUGUUCGACUUUUAAAUUC